rnacentral:lncRNA from 1 species
CAAUCACCAACCAACCAACCAAUCACCAACCAACUAAUCACCAACCAACCAAUCACCAAUCAACCAAUCAACCAAGACAAGGCCGAUAUUUUAGCCAAAAUGCUGUAUUUAUUGAAUUUACAGUGAUACAGUUGAUAUUAUUUCUCCAGAUAAUAAACAGGAUUACAUCCUGAUGUAGCACAGUAUUAUUCUCUUUGACAAGGCAAUCAGUCAUUUCUACAUUCAGUGUCAACAAACUCUGAGCCCCAAAUGGCACCCUAUUCCCUAUGUAGGGCACUACUUUAGACUAGAGUCAUAUGGACCCUGGUCUAUAUAGGGAGAAGGGUGUCAUUUGGGAUGGAUCCUACAGUAUCCCUCUCUCUCUAACUCUCUCUUUCUUAAGUGGCUUGGGGCUCAGAGAGAAACUCUUAAAGGGGGGAGAAGGGCAGAGGGAUGAGGGGUGGAGGGAUGGAGGGAUGGGGUGGAGGGAUGGCAGGACAGAAGGGUGGAGGCAUGGAGGGAGAGAAGGGUGGAGGCAUGGAGGGAGAGAAGGGUGGAGGCAUGGAGGGGUGGAGGGAUGGAGAGAAGGAUGGAGGGAUGGAGCGAGAGAAGGAUGGAGGAUGGAGAGAUGGAGGGAGAGAAGGGUGGAGGGAUGUAUGUAAGACAGGAUGACAGUCGACAGCCUUAAAUAAGGCCUGAGGGGAGGAAAGGAAAAGAGUUGCCACACAGUCUACAGUGUGUGGAGAGAAAUGUGAAGCUAGCCCUCUAUGCGAAACUGAAUAAGCCCCCAGGCUGAGUCUCCCGGGUAGGAAAUUGGCUAACAGUGUUAGCGAGCCAAGAGCAACCUUCUGGCUUGGUCUUUAUGUUUCAUUUAGAUCUUAUUUGCUACAUGCACACAAAGUCAAUGGAACUCUUCAGCACGUUUUACAUAGAACCACUGGCCGUGUUCUAGAACUUCUAGUGUUCUACAGUAGAAUUCUCUGGCUGUGUUCUAGAACAUAGUAGAGUCACCUAGCUAGCUAAUACAGUGGUUCUCAAUCCUGGUCCUGGGGACCCAAAGGGGGACACAUUUCUGUUUUUGCUCUAGCACUACACACCUGAUUCAAAUCAUCCAAGCUUGAUGAUCAGUUGAUCAUUUUAAAAUCAGCAAAAACUAAAAUGUGUCCCCCUUCGGGACCCCAGGACCAGGAUUGAGAACCACUGAUUGAACAGAUAAGGUGACACUAUAAACUAUUUAAAAAGUGGAAUAAAAACAGGGUGAUGAAAGUGCAAUCACUUUAAAAAUGAUUAAAAACUUAAAACUCAGCGUUUAAAAAUACUUUAAAAAAACAUUCUCAUCAGAACAAGUGUGUUAAACAUACUGGUCUGUUUCUCAGAGCAAUAUAGACCAGAUUACUACUGAGAUCAUUGUACACACACUCAUCAAAUCAAACUAAUAUUUUAUGCCCAAACUAAUGCUCCGAUGUACAUAAAUAGAUAUAAAUUGGGAUAUUAUAAAGACAACUUUUCAGGUCCCAAAGCACCCUGGAACUUUAACUUAAAAAAGUGGUCUUCUCCCCUAUAGUACCCUAGCAAUGGUCCUGUGAACCAUACAUAAAACACGGAGCAUUCAACACGGAAAAUGUUAAAAAACUUACAAAUUCACCCUCACAACCAAAAGAGUUGUACCCCCCCAACCUGACUAUCAAUUAUCACAAAAAAAAGGUACAUUUCUUCUUAUUUUUUUAUUACAAGUCUUAGAAUGUUAAAAUAAACAAUGAUGGUGAAUAUACACAUUGAGGGGGACAUUAAACCAAGAUGGACAGGCAGCAAGCGUCAGCGGUGGAGGAGAGGAAGGGGGACGAGAGGUGAGGAAGGGGGAUGAGAGGUGAGGAAGAGGGAGGCAGCAAGCGUCAGCGGUGGAGGAGAGGAAGGGGGACGAGAGGUGAGGUAGAGGGAGGAGAGGGAGGCAGCAAGCGUCAGCGGUGGAGGAGAGGAAGGGGGACGAGAGGUGAGGAAGAGGGAGGCAGCAAGCGUCAGCGGUGGAGGAGAGGAAGGGGGACGAGAGGUGAGGAAGAGGGAGGCAGCAAGCGUCAGCGGUGGAGGAGAGGAAGGGGGACGAGAGGUGAGGAAGAGGGAGGAGAGGAAGGCAGCAAGCGUCAGCGGUGGAGGAGAGGAAGGGGGACGAGAGGUGAGGAAGAGGGAGGAGAGGGAGGCAGCAAGCAUCAGCGGUGGAGGAGAGGAAGGGGGACGAGAGGUGAGGAAGAGGGAGGAGAGGGAGGCAGCAAGCAUCAGCGGUGGAGGAGAGGAAGGGGGACGAGAGGUGAGGAAGGGGGAUGAGAGGUGAGGAAGGGGGAUGAGAGGUGAGGAAGAGGGAUGAGAGGUGAGGAAGGAGAGGAAGAGAGGUGAGGAAGGAGAGGAAGAGAGGUGAGGAAGGAGAGGAAGAGAGGUGAGGAAGGGGGACAAGAGGCGAGGAAGGGGGACAAGAGGUGAGGAAGGGGGACAAGAGGUGAGGAAGGGGGACAAGAGGUGAGGAAGGAGAGGAAGAGAGAGGCAGCAAGUGUCAGCGGUGGAGGAGAGGUGAAAAAGGGGGAGGAGAGGUGAGGAAGGGGGACAAGAGGUGAGGAAGAGGGAGGAGAGGUGAGGAAGAGGGAGGAGAGGUGAGGAAGGAGAGGAAGAGAGGUGAGGAAGAGGGGAGGAGAGGUGAGGAAGGGGGAGGAGAGGUGAGGAAGGGGGAUGAGAGGUGAGGAAGGGGGAGGAGAGGUGAGGAAGGGGGAGGAGAGGUGAGGAAGGGGGAUGAGAGGUGAGGAAGGGGGACAAGAGGUGAGGAAGAGGGAGGAGAGGUGAGGAAGAGGGAGGAGAGGUGAGGAAGAGGGAUGAGAGGUGAGGAAGAGGGAUGAGAGGUGAGGAAGGGGGACAAGAGGUGAGGAAGAGGGAGGAGAGGUGAGGAAGAGGGAGGAGAGGUGAGGAAGAGGGAGGAGAGGUGAGGAAGGAGAGGAAGAGAGAGGCAGCAAGUGUCAGUGGUGAAAGAGAGGUGAAAAAGGGGGAGGAAGGUGAGGACAGAAAGAUUCCAAAAUGUCUUUCACUUCUAGAACAUCUCAAACACUUCCCCUGCUUCCACUAUGCCUCUUCCUCCUCUCCAUCCCUCCUUCCUGUCCAGGGACACCUUUAGUCAGUAGUACAGGUCAUGUAAAAUGACAACAACAUAGAAAUACAUUUACAGAUUAAUAAUACUAACAAUAUUAUAGCCACAGAAUAUUCUACAUGUACAGAUAACGUCUGCAUCCCAAAUGUAACCUAUUCCCUAUAUAGUGCACUACUUUUGGCCAGAGCCCAUAUAGAAAAGGGUGAAGGGUUUGGGACAUAGACCAACUUGUGACCAGUUCACAAGCAAAAACCAAACAAGGUGGUAAAGAAAUAGAUUGUUUUCAUACAGAAGAUAGAUGUUGGUAUGAUGUGACUGCUGGUUUCUUCUUGACACACACACACACACACACACACACACACACACACACACACACACCUGCCUUCUCACUUUCCCUUACAGCAUGUGUGUGUUUGCAGGUAGAUGAGAAGAAAGAAUGAAAGAGAGAGGGAAUGAAAGAGAGAGGUUGCAGUGUCCCUUGGUUUGUAGCUGUGCAACAGAGGCCGAAGGGAAAGAUGCCCACCUGUCAAGUCCACCUUUAAUUUAGACCUGGCACCAAGAGAAAGAGAGAGAGGAGGGAGAGAGACGGACCGACGGGGGGGAUUAGAGUGAGGCGAGGACAGAUACAGGGAAAGAGGAGGAGGGGGAAAAAAAAACUCUCCCUCUCUCUCUCGUUGGCUGUGAGCUUCACUGUAGCAGAGAUAGUAGAGAUGAGAACAGCUUAGAGACCAAAAAGCAGCCGUCAAUCCCCGGAGAUUAACACACACACACACGCGAUUUAAAAAUAAAUAAUAAUAUAGAAUCUGUAUAUGGUCUCCUAACCCAUCUCUCUAAUGACAACUGAACAGGAGGGAGGCAGAGGAUUAUUUUAGGUACUUAUUGACUUAAUCAGCAUCCCAAGUAGAACCCUACAUAGUGCACUACUUUUAUCCAGGGCACAUAGGGAUCUGGUCAAACGUAGUGCACUAUAUAGGGAAUAGGCUGCCAUUUGAGACACAUCCUUAGCCAAUACUACAGGGAACUAGACUGGCCCUAAAACCAACAGAGAGAGAGAGUUAGAGAGUUAGAGAGAGAGAGAGAGAGAGAGAGAGAGAGAGAGAGAGAGAGAGAGAGACAGAGACAGACAGAGACAGAGACAGACAGAGAGAGAGAGAGAGAGACAGAGAGACAGAGACAGAGAGAGAGAGAGAGAGAGAGAGACAGAGACAGACAGAGACAGAGACAGAGAGAGAGAGAGCGUACUGUACUUGUCUGUGUUUGUUGCGUGGUUCCUAGAAAACCACGGCCGGAGCAGUGCAUCACACACACAGAGUUGAUUAUAGUCCACAUAUGGGCAGACCCUGCCCCCACACCAGCGCAGGAUGUCAAUUGGAUGACUACAGGGGUCAGAGGUCAAUAACUCAUCCUGACCAAUGAUAGCUUGCUGUGUCUGUGACGUUAUUUCCACAUCAUCCCUCUUUCAUUAACGCUCUCUGUUCGUCCAUCCAUCAAUCCAUCCAUCCAUCCAUCCAUCCAUCCAUCCAUCCAAUGAAUGUAUCCCCCAGCCGCAGAUCAGGGGAUUAGUAUCUUAGCUAUUAUAUCAUGCAGCGUUAGCAUCAUGCUACACUAGCUCGGAGCUAGCGCUGCCCACAACUUCCUUCUGUAAACGUGGAACAUUUCAUUGUCUAGCCAACAGCAGAGAAUCUCAGUGAUAGAGGGGUAAACCACUCACUACCGCCGACACAACACCCCCAUCUGGCAGUCCAAUCUGUGUACUGCACCUCAACACAGACAGCCAAGAGUGUCGCAAAUGUUUUUGGUGCUGAGAUUCACUUUUUGGCUUUUCCUGACCCUCCAAUCUCGAAAGUCAAAACAUCGCCAACCAUUCAGAUAGUCCAAACAGAAACUACUCCAAGUUGAACCACCAGCUUUAAAUGUGGGACAGAUAGUGGUUAAGAGAAGCUACACUUUUAGUUUUGGGACAGAUAGUGGUUAAGAGAAGCUACACUUUUAGUUUUGGGACAGAUAGUGGUUAAGAGAAGCUACACUUUUAGUUUUGGGACAGAUAGUGGUUAAGAGAAGCU